rnacentral:rRNA from 1 species
GUUAGGAAUAUUGGACAAUGGGCGAAAGCCUGAUCCAGCCAUGCCGCGUGAACGAUGAAGGCCUUCGGGUUGUAAAGUUCUUUAGCCGAUGAUUAUAAUGACUGUAGUCGGAAAAUAAGCCCCGGCUAACUUCGUGCCAGCAGCCGCGGUAAUACGAAGGGGGCGAGCGUUAUUCGGAAUCACUGGGCGUAAAGCGUGCGUAGGCGGUCUCGUAAGUUAGGAGUGAAAGCCCAGGGCUCAACCUUGGAAUUGCUCUUAAAACUGCAAGGCUAGAAUCUCGGAGAGGAUAGCGGAAUUUCCAGUGUAGCAGUGAAAUGCGUAGAUAUUGGAAGGAACACCAGUGGCGUAAGCGGCUAUCUGGACGAGUAUUGACGCUGAGGCACGAAAGCGUGGGGAUCAAACAGGAUUAGAUACCCUUGUAGUCC